GUUCCCUUCAAUCUCCAAAACCCUUGUAUGUCUUUUUAUACCCCUUUCUCAGUUCACUCUCUCUUUCCGACACAAGGCACUACCUCGUUCCUCCUCCUCCCUCCGCCGUUCUCGUCGGGCAGGCGCAUUGAUGCGUGGGAGGGAACAGGGGGGGAAAAGUGUUGACCACCUCAUGUGUGUUGUAUGUGUGCAUGGCCUGGCCCCACCGCCGACUGCCGGCUUUGGCGGGCGGUGAGCAACUUACCAGCCGGCAAAACCAACCAACUUCCCUCCCCGACGUGGCUCUCUGAACGUUCGCGGUAGAUGCGGGCCCCAUCGGCCGAGGAUUCUACGUCGCCCCGCGCGCGCGGCUAGAAACCAAAUUAUACAACAAUGAACAAUCGACGCGAGGUGCUACGUUGGGUGGCCGUGGCGGAGGUGACUGCUGGACUGAACCUGAGACUUGGGAGGCGGGCAGGCGCCUUCAAUACCACCCGCGGUGCACCACAGCCUAACAUGGCUGGAAACCUCGGUGCUUUUACUGCGACAGGAGAAAACAAGCGAACACUUGUUGUGACGCGCACAAACACAAUGACGAGAAUUAUUCCAUCACUAACGGCAGAGACUGAAAGGACUUAACUGCAGUGCACAUAUUAUUAACAUAGUUACAUUGUAAUUAGUUUAAAAUGAACACUCUAUUUAUGCAAUUAAACAUAAAAAUUUUCACUUCAAAGCUGA